CUCGACUGCCCUUCCUGGGCGUUUCCUCCCUAGACUUGGCUGGCCGGUUCUCCGCGCCAGCCAUUUUUCUCGCAGUU
rnacentral:sRNA from 1 species